CUACGGGCGGCUGCAGUGAGGAAUUUUGCGCAAUGGGGGAAACCCUGACGCAGCAACGCCGCGUGAGUGAAGAAGGCCCUUGGGUCGUAAAGCUCUGUCAAUGGGGAAGAAGUUAUUAUGUGUUAAUAGCACAUUUUAUUGACGGUACCCAUGAAGGAAGCACCGGCUAACUCCGUGCCAGCAGCCGCGGUAAUACGGGGGGUGCAAGCGUUAUUCGGAAUUAUUGGGCGUAAAGGGCACGCAGGCGGUCCUGUCAGUCAGAUGUGAAAGCCCGGGGCUCAACCCCGGACGUGCAUUUGAAACAGCAGGACUUGAGUACGGGAGAGGAAAGGGGAAUUCCUGGUGUAGAGGUGAAAUUCGUAGAUAUCAGGAGGAACACCGGUGGCGAAGGCGCCUUUCUGGACCGAUACUGACGCUGAGGUGCGAAGGCGUGGGUAGCGAACGGGAUUAGAUACCCUUGUAGUC
rnacentral:rRNA from 1 species